UUGACAUCCAGAGAAUUUAGCAGAGAUACUUUAGUGCCUUCGGGAACUCUGAGACAGGUGCUGCAUGGCUGUCGUCAGCUCGUGUUGUGAAAUGUUGGGUUAAGUCCCGNAACGAGCGCAACCCUUAUCCUUUGUUGCCAGCACGUAAUGGUGGGAACUCAAAGGAGACUGCCGGUGAUAAACCGGAGGAAGGUGGGGAUGACGUCAAGUCAUCAUGGCCCUUACGAGUAGGGCUACACACGUGCUACAAUGGCGCAUACAAAGAGAAGCGACCUCGCGAGAGCAAGCGGACCUCAUAAAGUGCGUCGUAGUCCGGAUUGGAGUCUGCAACUCGACUCCAUGAAGUCGGAAUCGCUAGUAAUCGUAAAUCAGAAUGUUACGGUGAAUACGUUCCCGGGCCUUGUACACACCGCCCGUCACACCAUGGGAGUGGGUUGCAAAAGAAGUAGAUAGCUUAACCUUCGGGAGGGCGUUUACCACUUUGUGAUUCAUGACUGGGGUGAAGUCGUAACAAGGUAGGCGUAGUGCU
rnacentral:rRNA from 1 species